rnacentral:rRNA from 1 species
UACGGAGGGUGCAAGCGUUAUCCGGAUUUACUGGGUUUAAAGGGUGCGCAGGCGGACUAUUAAGUCAGUGGUGAAAGCCCCGGGCUCAACCUGGGAAUUGCCAUUGAUACUGGUGGUCUUGAGUAUAGUUGAGGUAGGCGGAAUGCAACAUGUAGCGGUGAAAUGCUUAGAUAUGUUGCAGAACAACGAUUGCGAAGGCAGCUUGCUAAACUAUUACUGACGCUCAGGCACGAAAGCGUGGGGAUCAAACAGG